rnacentral:lncRNA from 1 species
UCGGGCUCUGGCACGGCACCUUGGCCACCACCACGUCCAUCUCCUCGUAGGCCGAAAAGACCGGCAUCGGGAUCUCGGGGCACGCGCUCCGCCCACUCUCCUCGUCGAUAUAGCUCGGGAACAGGUCUGUCCAUUUCAAAUUAUCUGGCACGCGCUCGAAUUCGACCACUGUUGAUGCUUCGUCAAUCCCUAGCUCAACUGAUUCGUUCUUGCCUAUGUUCACCAGGCCGAUUCUCUUGUCCGCGAUGCGUAAGCUUUCAAAGAAACUCCGUUUUCUCUCCUUUUCUGUUCUACUUUCUCUCAUUAUGUUAUUCAGCACUCCCUCUUCCACCUGCGAAUUUUCAUACUCAAAGUUUCAAUUUCAUACCAUCCCUAGACAAAGCAGCGAGAAAAAUAAGAAAAUCAAAUAUAACUAUCUCAUUAAACUUAGAUACGAGUUUUCCAACCAUACUGCAUGUCUAAAAUCUUUUACAUUCAUUCAAUUUAAACAAUUUGUGAUGAGGUUCCAAUUACAGAAUUUGAGCAUGCUUUAACUACCUCAAAAUAUUUUAUCUUGAUCACUUUUUCUUAAAAAAAUCAGUACGUUCAAAUUUUCACAGCGAGGGAUCUACAAAUGACUCAGGUUAGCUAACCUUCAUCGCGCGGCAAUCAUUCCAGGUGCACCAGGCGAGGGAGGCGGCAUUUUUGUUGAUGAGAGCCGUCGAGCAGAGGACGAGAAGGGCGAGGGAGGUGACCGACACGAAGACGAGGAAGGCGAGGUUUAUCCUGACGGCGACGCCUUUCGACGAUGCCGCCUUAUGCAUCUCCAUUAAUGAUAAACCCCUGCGUCUUUGAGAAAACCUUAGCACUUAUUAAUGCCCCACCUUGAUCUUCUUGAGCUUACAAUUAUAUAUAUACAGUAAAUUUUCUUCGUACCUUUGGAAACUUGUGAAUACGGAUGACUAGGAAAUAAAAAUUUGGUUUUGAAAUUGAUUCCAGCUCAUUUGUUUAUUUGCGAAUGUGGGGAGAGUUUGGUUUCUAGCGGCGGCCGGCGAUGCAUUAACAAAGAAAAAUAUCGCGCACUUGAUAUAGUAUUUUUAAAAAGUGUUACAAUUUCAUCUAAAAUAUCUACUUUAAUUGCAACACAAAACAAAAAGAACAAAAAUAAAUUUUUUUUUCUUUUAAUUUGUUUUUCUAAAUAAGUAGUUAUUUAUUACCCAGCUGAAUGUAUUAUAGAUUAAUCAACUAUAAUAAUAUAAUGAUUUCAUUUUUUUUCCUUUAAUAUAUUAAAUUGUAUAAAAUUAGUGAUGGGAAAAAAAAUAAAAACGACAAGGAUAACUAAUUUUUUUUCCCAGAUAGGCGGCGAUUGGAUGGAAUUAAAAGGCCCCUCUGAUAGGCUGCCGUUUUUAACUUGUUGAGUUUAGGAUUAGGCUUGGAUGCAUCAAAAAGCUGUGGGAUUUGACAUUUUUAUUUGUCAUGUUUCACAUAGUUACAGGUUUGGCCAUAAGUUAGGUUUAAGCCUUUGACAUGUUAUGUUGUCUACAAAAGGAGAUGAGGAAGAGAAAUUGAACUUUGCUACUCUCUAUUUAAGUUGCAUACUCAACAUGUGUGCUUUAGGCAAUAUAUGCAGAUAAGUGUUGACUGUUGAGGAAGGGCAUCGAUGGAUACUGAUAUUUACCAACCGUCCCUAGAGCAAGUGACAAAGAAUUUGAUAGUUGGUACCCGAGACCUAAAUUCGAAUCGAUUCACAUUUCUAGCUAAGUUUAUUUCUAAAUGAAAUAAACGAAGCGGGUAGCGUGCCACCUAUCCCUAAAAAAAAAAAUGGAUACUGAUACUUGAAAUUUUAUCAGUAUUCGAAUCCAAACGAAGUGGAUUUAAAUAAUAUUAAAUAAGUAUAAUUUUGAUUAUGGCUACCGAGAAUGAAAAUCAGACGGAUACGCGAAUCGCAACCCAAAUCCGAACAAGACGCGCGCUAGUUUUUAUAUUAUAAAAUAUAAAACUUUGAAAUUGUACUUCAAAGAUUUAUAUUUGAGUAUGAUAUAUUCUGAAAUUUGGUAAAGAGAAGUGAUUGCUUUUGGGCUCAGUUUCGGAUUUUGUUUUUUUGGUCAAAUUCAGUUUUGGUGGUAAAUAUUUAAAACUUAAUGUUUCAUAUUCGAAUUUCAAUUUUGCUUGUCAAGUUUGGGUUCGAAUUUUUUAAAAUCUAUAAACAUGCUCCUUUCCUGUGUCACCCUAUCUAGUAAUUAUAGAAAAGAUAAAUACUAUUUGUACAAUCUAAAUAAUAUAUAUAUUAGGGGUGUCAACGAGCCGAACACGAGCGAGCUGGGGCUGGCUCGUGUUCGGUCCAAACACGAGCUGGCUCGCGAACUGACCAACGAACAAUAAGUUAAAUGAAUUAAAUUGGAUAUAUGUAAAAAACUAAAUUUAUAAAAUCUUACUUAUUAAACUUUAAUCUAAUGGUUGAAAUUUUACAUAUAAAUGAGUUUUUUUAUAAUUAAGCUCUACUUUAUUUUUUUUGUUAAAAUCAAUAUAUAUAUAUAUAUAUAUUAUAUAUAUAAUUAUAUAUAAUAUAUAGUAUUAUUACAACUAUUAGUCGAACCGAAACUAAUAAGCUGACCCACGCUCGGUUCAGCUCAAUGUAUCAACGACUGAAAAAUAUGUUCUCGUGUUGCGGACUCGUUUACUAACGAGUGAUACGAUACUCAAACUCAUCUUCGAGUCAAUAAACGUACUCGAAACAAUGAGGCUCAUUUGCCACCUCUGAUAUAUAUAUAUUAUAUAAGUAUAUAUAUAUAUAUAUAUAUAUUAAUCUAAUAUAUUUAUGUAUUAUAUAUAUAUCAGAAUAUGGCUACUACAUGCUAUUAAUACACAGUCCGUUCAUUGCUACAAGUUUGCCAUUGGAUUAUAGAAUGUGUGGUUUAGGAUGAUGUGGUCGUCAUAGAUUAGAGUGGAUGGUUUGUUAAUAUAUAUCUAAUAGGAUGAAAAAUGAUCCAAAGGGUAAUCUAACGGCGAAAACUGUAGCACCGCAAGUGCUUGUGCUAUGUAAUAGCCAAUAAGUAAGCCGACUCAUCUCUCUCUCUCUUCUCUCCCUCUCUCAUCUUCUCUCUCUCUCUCUCAUCCUCUCUCUCUCUAUAUAUAUAUAAUAUAUAUUAUAUAUAUAUAUAUAUAUAUAUAUACCUUGCACAUUGGAUAAUAGAGUACUUUCCUUAGUUACUUGAUAUAACUAUUAAGUCCAUUCCAUCCAUUAAAUAAAACUAAUAUAAAACAAAUAUUUAUUUUUUGAUGUAUAGAUAGUAUUAAUUUAAGAUAUAACGUACACCGACAAAAAAAAAAAAGAAAAAGAAAAAGAAAAACUUGGGAGGGAGCCCAUGUGCUCCCUUUUCAGGGAAUAUUGCUGCUUUUUGAAAAGUAAAAAAUAAAUAAAUAAUCCAAAAAUUAUAUAAAAAGUAGAAAUACAAAUGAAAGUUAAAAAAGAGAGGUGGAAAAAUAGUGAAGGGAGCGGCCUUUGACGUGGCAAAAUGAAUUUUGACGAAGGAUUUAGAAAAUUGAAAUAUUAGGAAAGUAACAAUAUCAUAAUAAAAUGUAAUAAAAUUUUUAUUUGUUAUUUAUUGAAUGAGAUCUAACAAUUCAAAAUAUGUUUAUAAUAAUAUUAUUAAAAAGAAUCAAAAAAAGAAAAAGUUAAACGGCAACUAUUGUAUGAUCAAGAUCCAACGAAUGGUAUCAUAAUAUUAUUUUUGACAUCGAUCAGAUAUUUAAAUCCUAAAUACUCAUUAGAGAAAAGGCCUUCUAAUAAUUCUAACGAGAAAUUAAGCAAAUACGGACAAAAACGAGAAACCAUUAUAUGAACAAUUUUAAAUAUAUUUUACUUUUAUUUAUCUCCCACUAAAUUUCAUUCUGUUUAUUAAAUAAAUAAAUAUCCGGGUUGAACAUUGGUUUGAUUCCGAAUAUUUAUACAACAAGUUAACAAACACUUAAAUAUAAGUCAAAAACUGAAAUAAUUGAAUUAAUGCUCCUGUUUAAAAAAAAAAAAAAAAAAAAAUUGAAAUUGAGUUGUGAUAUUUGCUCUGAUUUGGAAGAGCCCUUCCGAUGACAUGAUCUUCCGACCGAUGUUGCUCUAAAUUCAGAAAGUUUCACUUUGCUAUUCUACUGUCACAAAUCUUCUCUUGUCGGUAAUGUUGAUCUUCCAAUGCUCGUCGCUAAACCGCAUCGUCGCCGCCGUCCGCCGCUCCGCCUCCAACGUGUCGAUCCUCUCCGCCGUGAGCCCGCACAACCACUGCAGCCCCUCGUCGAUCUCGUCAUAGCGCUGCCACCACGCCCGGUGAAACUCGUCGCUGGCGUACAUCCGCAGGCGCUCGACGUCCCAGUUGCAGUCGUAGUCCCUGUAACACCUCCACGGCUUCACCCCGAAGUAAUGUAUCCCGUGCAGCUCCGGCGUCUCCGCAGCGAAGAGCCGGCCCAUCCACUCCCUCUCCUCCGUGGCGUUCUUCCACGCCAUCUUGAAGUGGUUCAGCCGCUUCGGCAGGCGGUGCCACCACGCGAACAUCUCGUUCAGGAACCCCUGGUCGCCGCCGUUGUACGAGAUAAUGUCAUCGCGGUGCGCCACGAGCGCGUUGAACGUGCAGUUCGACGGCUCGAUGACCAUCACGCCGGAGUUGAAGAGGACUCCGCUGUCGUGCACCGCCGAUAUCUGCGGGAGGCGGAAGAGGUGGUCGAGGCUGCGGAGGAUGAGGAUGUCGGUGUCGACGAAGACGAUCUUGUCGUACUCGGUGAGCUGCCAGAGGCGGAACUUGCUGAAGUUGUACUCGUUGUAGGCGCCGCGCUUGGCGCGCGGGUUGUGGAUGCGCUCGAUCCUGCGGAGCGUCCACCCGGCGGCGGCCAGCGCCUGCAGCUUCGGGCGGCUGAUGGAGUCGUCGUGGAGGAGGACGAGGUCGCGGUCGCCGGUGGAGCCCGUAUUGCGGAGGCAGUGAGCCAGCAUGACUGCGCCGCACACGUAGUCAUCGGAGGAGUGAAUGAUCGUCGCGUAGGCCUCCCGCCGUUGCCGAGGGCUCGCCAGGGAGGCUAUACUCGAAACAUUGGAUUCGCCGUUUAUAGCUGAGACGAGAGUUAAUAAUAUUAUUAACAGAGCAAUUUUUAUUUUUAAAAUAAAAAUAUUAAUUUAUUCUGUAAAGAAAUAACUAGUAAGUAGUGUUUAAAUGCAAUGUAUUUUAUUUUUGGCAAAUAUAGACUGUUUUUCUUUUUUUUUUUUUAGCAAUACAAUUUACUUUAAGCGAGCUCCAAUGGUAUAUAUCAACCUUCCAACUCAACUUCUACCAACCUCCACUUCUUAGUCCGAGAGCAAAUUCUCUCUCAAUGUGUAUAUAACUUCAGGAUGAGACAAUGAUGGGAUACUGCCAUGUGGCUCAAGCACAUAAUACUUUGAAUAUUUUUAUCAAGGAAUCUUAACUCAAAUUGCUCUUAGAGUUAUAUAUAUAUAUAUAUAUAUAUAUAUAUAUAUAUAUAUAUAUUAGAAAUAUCUCACAAUNUAUAUAUAUUAGAAAUAAAUUUGACUGAAAUAUAAAAUAACUAAAUUUUGAAUUUUAGAACCUUAAAUAUCAAUCAUUAAGUUCUUCGCAAAUUAUGAUUUGUAGUUUUUUUUUGUUGAGUGCUAAUAAAUUAAGUUUUCUUAUCGUGGGCCUGUUGAAGGAGGAGUACUUAGGCUAAGGUUUGGAUUUAAGUCUCAACUAGGUAUAACUUAGACUAAACAUUUAGGUCGAAAAGAUCAUGAAAUCAAAUUGUCUAGAAUGCAAUACUAAUAAGAUAAUAUUAUAACAACUAAAAUCUGAUACGAGAAGAUAUGUACCUUGUUGUUCCGGAAGCUGCAAUGCUACCUUGCAAGCUCCCCAGGGCAGGCUAACCUUUUCUGCCAACUUAUCAACCUGCACUUGGUACAUCCACCACUCCCCCUCCCUCUCCACCAAAUCGUCGCACCGGAACAGCUCCCUCAUCGGCUCACACUCGCUCACCAGCGCUACUUUCGCCGUCCCCCGCCCGUCCCUCCUCGCCUUUCUCACAACCAAGUUCGCGGCCACCAAAUGAACCUGCAGCCUAAACACGUCCCGAUACCACCCGGGCUUCGGGCUCUGGCACGGCACCUUGGCCACCACCACGUCCAUCUCCUCGUAGGCCGAAAAAACCGGCAUCGGGAUCUCGGGGCACACGCUCCGCCCAUUCUCCUCGUCGAUAGAGCUCGGGAACAGGUCUGUCCAUUUCAAAUUAUCUGGCACGCGCUCGAAUUCGACCACUGUUACAUUUUUGUCAAUCCCUAUCUCAACUGAUUCGUUCUUGCCUAUGUUCACCAGCCCGAUUCUCUCA